AGGAAGACAGACGUCGGCAGACUAAGCUAGCUUAGCCCCCACUGCUAGCAUGCUAACACAAGUGAAAGACAAGGACGUGCACGAGAAGAAGUCUAUAAAGAAGAUACAGCUAAGCCAAAAAGCGACGGAGGGUUCCGUACAGACAAGCUAAGAAACACGAAGCCCAGCAGAGCAUGAACUGGACGGUGACAAUAAUAACUUCCCGCCUAAGGGAGCGUGCUGUAUAUGGAGGCUUUCAUGCAGCCACUACGGUUCCUGAGGGCAUUCAGCAUGC